rnacentral:tRNA from 2 species
GCUCGGGUGGUGAAAUUGGCAGACACGCAUGCUUGAGGUGCAUGUGGGUAACUCCUUGCGGGUUCGAGUCCCGCCCCGAGCACCA